GGAGGGAUGGGUGAGCGGACGAAACCGCCGGUCUUGAAAACCGGUGAGCCGCGAGGCUCCGUGGGUUCGAAUCCCACUCCCUCCGCCA
rnacentral:tRNA from 2 species